GCGGCGUGCCUAAUACAUGCAAGUCGAGCGGACCCUUCGGGGUUAGCGGCGGACGGGUGAGUAACACGUAGGCAACCUGCCUGUAAGACUGGGAUAACUACCGGAAACGGUAGCUAAGACCGGAUAAGUGAUUCUCUUGCAUGAGAGGAUCAAGAAACACGGGGCAACCUGUGGCUUACAGAUGGGCCUGCGGCGCAUUAGCUAGUUGGUGGGGUAACGGCUCACCAAGGCGACGAUGCGUAGCCGACCUGAGAGGGUGAUCGGCCACACUGGGACUGAGACACGGCCCAGACUCCUACGGGAGGCAGCAGUAGGGAAUCUUCCGCAAUGGACGCAAGUCUGACGGAGCAACGCCGCGUGAGUGAUGAAGGUUUUCGGAUCGUAAAGCUCUGUUGCCAGGGAAGAACGUCGCGGAGAGUAACUGCUCUGCGAAUGACGGUACCUGAGAAGAAAGCCCCGGCUAACUACGUGCCAGCAGCCGCGGUAAUACGUAGGGGGCAAGCGUUGUCCGGAAUUAUUGGGCGUAAAGCGCGCG
rnacentral:rRNA from 1 species